rnacentral:tRNA from 1 species
GGAGGGUUGGCAGAGUGGUUGAAUGCAACGGUCUUGAAAACCGUCGUGCCUUAACGGUACCGAGGGUUCGAAUCCCUCACCCUCCU